rnacentral:rRNA from 1 species
CAGCAGCCGCGGUAAUUCCAGCUCCAAUAGCGUAUAUUAAAGUUGUUGCAGUUAAAAAGCUCGUAGUUGAACCUUGGGCCUGGCUGGCCGGUCCGCCUCACCGCGUGUACUGGUCCGGCCGGGCCUUUCCUUCUGGGGAGCCGCAUGGUCUUCACUGACCGUGCCGGGGAACCAGGACUUUUACUUUGAAAAAAUUAGAGUGUUCAAAGCAGGCCUUUGCUCGAAUACAUUAGCAUGGAAUAAUAGAAUAGGACGUCGCGGUUCUAUUUUGUUGGUUUCUAGGACCGCCGUAAUGAUUAAUAGGGAUAGUCGGGGGCAUCCGUAUUCAAUUGUCAGAGGUGAAAUUCUUGGAUUUAUUGAAGACGAACUACUGCGAAAGCAUUUGCCAAGGAUGUUUUCAUUAAUCAGUGAACGAAAGUUAGGGGAUCGAAGACGAUCAGAUACCGUCGUAGUCUUAACCAUAAACUAUGCCGACUAGGGAUCGGUGGAUGUUAUCUUUUUGACUCCAUCGGCACCUUACGAGAAAUCAAAG